UACGUAGGGUGCGAGCGUUGUCCGGAAUUAUUGGGCGUAAAGAGCUCGUAGGCGGUCUGUCGCGUCGAAUGUGAAAACCCGGGGCUCAACUCCGGGCUUGCAUUCGAUACGGGCAGGCUAGAGUUCGGUAGGGGAGUCUGGAAUUCCUGGUGUAGCGGUGAAAUGCGCAGAUAUCAGGAGGAACACCAGUGGCGAAGGCGGCUCACUGGACCGGAACUGACGCUGAGGCGCGAAAGCGUGGGGAGCAAACAGG
rnacentral:rRNA from 1 species